CAACUACUCCCUCUGUCCCAAAUUUCUUGUCUUAGAUUUGUCUAGAUACGGAUGUAUCUAAUACUAAAAUGUGACUUGAUACAUCCGUAUCUAGACAAAUCUAAGACAAGAAUUUUGGGACGGAGGGAGUACUNU
rnacentral:pre_miRNA from 1 species